rnacentral:misc_RNA from 1 species
ACAAUAUUCACCCUAUCUAACUAACUUUUAGUUUCAAAACAGUCCAAAUACUCAACAUAUAUAUACAGACAUUUCAACCUUUUUUAUGAAAUUGAAAACCCUAACACCUCAAUUAUUACUAUCUCUUUCUAAACUAUGACUCGCCGGUUUAGAUUUCUGCUAACUUCGAACGCCUCCUCCACUUCGCCGGCGGCGGAAGAAGCGGAGCCACCGUCAGCCACGGCAGCGGAGUCCGACUUCAUUGUUAUACUUGCUGCUUUACUCUGUGCAGUAAUCUGUGUUUCUGGACUCAUCGUAGUAGCUCGUUGUACUUGGCUCCGGAGGGACCCGCCGGAAAAUCCACCGCCGGUGAAGAAUAAAGGAUUGAAGAAGAAAGUUCUCAAGUAUUUGCCGAAAUUCAAGUAUGAUCCGUCGAGCGGUGAGCUGCCGUUUGCGGCGGAGUGCGCGAUUUGUCUGGUGGAGUAUGUAGAGGGAGAUGAAAUUCGAGUGUUGCCGAAUUGUGGCCAUCGGUUUCACCUCCAGUGUGUGGACACGUGGCUUUUGACGAACUCGUCGUGCCCUUCCUGCCGGCAGAUUCUCGUAGUUGCUCGUGCUCGGUGCCGGAAGUGCGGGGAAGUUCCUGCAAUUUCCGGCGAAGCCUCCGACGGAGGUCAAAUUUUAACGGCGGUUUAGUCUACAACUUACGGUAAACGAGGUUAAUAUGAAAAAGUGGCCGGCCGGAGCAUCGUGGUAAGUGUAAAUUGGUAACGGUGUUGUUAUUUUCCGGUGAUGGAAAUGGGCCCCGCAUGAGGUCGAGGGAUAAGGCAUACUUUCCUUGUGAUUAUGAUGGGAGUGUUAGAAAGUGACAAAAAUGAAAUUAUGGCUGUUGGAG